rnacentral:lncRNA from 1 species
GUGUUACAUCAGAAGCUAGGCAGGUAAUAGAUCAUUUACAGGGGGUGUUGCCACUGGAGUUAUCAAGAAGAAAAAUAGACUUUUGAAAUCUAAAGACCUUGGAACUCGGGGGUUGGGGAUUUAGCUCAGUGGUAGAGCACUUGCCUAGCAAGCACAAGGCCCUGGGUUUGGUCCCCAGCUCCGAAAAAAAAAAAAAAAAAAAAAAAAGGAGACCUUGGAACUCACGCAAGGACAAGGAUGUAAUAACUCAAUGUCUUUCAGGUUAAGAUCAUCAUGCUCAUGCUUGAAUUUGGCUUGGCCUUUCAGGGAAAAAUAUCCAAGCUCUGGCGCUGUGGAAAUGAGGUUUGAAUUCUCUCCAUCACUUAUUAGUUGGAGGCCGGUCCCAACAUGGAAUAGGUUUGGCUUCUCACCCCACAAAUCAUCGCCAUGGACUUCGUGUCUAGAAACAGCUUUUUGGUGUCUGAAAGUCCAAGAGUUAGAUCCAGACCCUGCCAUAUCUCCAUGUUACCGCAGUGGCAACUUGACUGUCUUCCUAACUCCAAUCGAUGCCGCAAUGCAAUGGUGACUUCAUUACUAGAUGACUCGGAUUCAGGGAUUUGGACCCCAGAGAGCUUGAAAGUCCUAUUUAUGAAUGUGUCUCUGAGGCUGUUUCUGGAGGAUGGCCUUUGAGUCAGCAGACUGAGCAAGGAGACACCCUUGCAAAUGCUGGUGGGCACAAUCCAAUUCACAAGAGCUAAGGGAGGAUCAAAGGCAGAGGAAGAGACUCGCACUGCUUAGGUUAGACAUCUCCCCCUCUUGUGCUGGACACCGGCACUCUUGGUUCUUGGGUCUUUGAACGCACACUGGAGUUUUGUAUCCAUGUGCCCCUCAGUUCUUAUAAACUUUUGGCUGGAGCUGCAACUGUGCCUUUUGAGGACUGAGACAAGUCAGUCCCUCAUAAUCUCUCUCUAUAUGUCUGUGUACCUUACUGCUUCUGUUUCUCUGAAGAACCCCGAUUGAAAAUUUGGGAAGGAAUACUGCACUACUACUUUCCAGACUCUUUCUCUCCAUUUCUUUUAGUUUCUUAAGUAUAUCUAGUAUUUUGUGGUUGU